UACGUAGGGUGCAAGCGUUAAUCGGAAUUACUAGGCGUAAAGCGUGCGCAGGCGGUCUGUUAAGACCGAUGUGAAAUCCCCGGGCUUAACCUGGGAACUGCAUUGGUGACUGGCAGGCUUUGAGUGUGGCAGAGGGAGGUAGAAUUCCACGUGUAGCAGUGAAAUGCGUAGAGAUGUAAAGGAAUACCGAUAGCGAAGGCAGCCUCCUGGGCCAACACUGACGCUCAUGCACGAAAGCGUGGGGAGCAAACAGG
rnacentral:rRNA from 1 species